rnacentral:rRNA from 1 species
UACGUAGGGUGCAAGCGUUAAUCGGAAUUACUGGGCGUAAAGCGUGCGCAGGCGGUGAUGUAAGACAGUUGUGAAAUCCCCGGGCUCAACCUGGGAACUGCAUCUGUGACUGCAUCGCUGGAGUACGGUAGAGGGGGAUGGAAUUCCGCGUGUAGCAGUGAAAUGCGUAGAGAUGUGGAGGAAUACCGAUGGCGAAGGCAGCCUCCUGGGCCAACACUGACGCUCAUGCACGAAAGCGUGGGGAGCAAACAGG